rnacentral:rRNA from 14 species
AGAGGGAAACAACCCAGACCGCCAGCUAAGGUCCCAAAAUAUUGCUAAGUGGGAAACGAUGUGGGAAGGCACAGACAGCUAGGAGGUUGGCUUAGAAGCAGCCAUCCUUUAAAGAAAGCGUAAUAGCUCACUAGUCGAGUCGGCCUGCGCGGAAGAUGUAACGGGGCUAAGUAAUAUACCGAAGCUGCGGACGCAAAGUUUACUUUGCGUGGUAGGGGAGCGUUGUGUAAGUGGCUGAAGGUAAGCUGAGAGGCUUGCUGGACAUAUCACAAGUGCGAAUGCUGACAUGAGUAACGAUAAUGGGAGUGAAAAACUCCCACGCCGGAAGACCAAGGUUUCCUGUCCCAUGCUAAUCAGGGCAGGGUAAGUCGGCCCCUAAGGCGAGGCAGAAAUGCGUAGUCGAUGGGAAACGGAUUAAUAUUUCCGUACUUGUAUAAUCAGUGAUGGAGGGACGGAGAAGGCUAGGCAAGCUUGGCGUUGGUUGUCCAAGUGAAAGCGAGUAGGCCGAGAAUUUAGGUAAAUCCGGAUUCUUAAAGCUGAGACGCGAG